AAAUAGAUAUUUGUAUGAAAUAUCACAGUAGUUAUAGAUUACCAAGCAAGCCAUGAAUUAUUUUAAAGUUUUGUUAAUUCUGUUGGUUCUUUUUGGGAUGUCUUCUCAAAACUCUGAGAAGGGUAGUGGAGUGGAAGUUAAAACAGCAACAAUGGUGAAUCCUCGGCCUAAUUGUCUAAAGGGAGAAAUAUAUAUGAGAGGGAAGUGCAGAAAACAAAUGGUAUAAACAUAGAUAAUUGUGGAAAAUGGAGUUUGAGAAGUUCCAGUUCCCCAUGGACAAAAAUGAACUAACAAAUGACAAUCAAAUUCUAAUUAAUUAAGUAUUGAUACGCUAAUAACAAUCGUUUUUAUAAUGAUGCUUAUGAUUCAAAUAAACUGUAUAAUCAAA